CGGGACGGGUGAGUAAUGCUUGGGAAUCUAGCUUAUGGAGGGGGAUAACUACGGGAAACUGUAGCUAAUACCGCGUAAUAUCGAAAGAUUAAAGUGUGGGGACCUUCGGGCCACAUGCCAUAGGAUGAGCCCAAGUGGGAUUAGGUAGUUGGUGAGGUAAAGGCUCACCAAGCCGACGAUCUCUAGCUGGUCUGAGAGGAUGACCAGCCACACUGGGACUGAGACACGGCCCAG
rnacentral:rRNA from 1 species